GUGCGUCUUCAGGGCGGGGUGAAAUUCCCCACCGGCGGUAUGCCGGCAACGCGAGAGCGUGAGCCGGCGAGCCCGCGAGCGCCCGCAGUAGUCUGGCUUUCACGGAACCGGAAGCCGCCGCGGGGUCAGCAGAUCUGGUGAGAAGCCAGAGCCGACGGUCACAGUCCGGAUGGAAGAAGAUGUGC
rnacentral:ncRNA from 2 species